rnacentral:lncRNA from 1 species
AUGCAGGGGCGGCUGGCUGACCGAGCCGCUGCUCCUCUGCUGAUUGCCACCGUUUCUCCCCGCUUGACACCGCCAGCAGCCUCAGCGCUGCCCUUUUCCACACAAAAUCAGCCCACGCUGCGGGGGUGGACGCGGUGGCCUGGAUUCCCCACCUCGCACCCCCUUUUUUUUUUUUUUUUUUCUGUCAGGUUAUUCAGCAGGCGAGGCUGGCUGCGGGGAGGAAGGGGAGGGAAAUGCAACAGCUCCAUGUUACAAGGUUCCUUAAAGAGCAGCCUGGCAGAGCUUCUCAGGGAAAGUCAGGAGAGAGAAAUCAGCUCCAUUGUUCAGUGCUUCCCCAGGGAAACACCUGUUAGCUCAGGGUUUGGUAUCUGCUUUCCUCACUAAAUAUAUUGGCACUUCUCAGCUACCUAGUGCUUCUGAAGUAAACG